rnacentral:rRNA from 1 species
CAAAAUGCACAGGCUGUGAACUCGAAGAGUAGGGCGGGACACGUGGUAUCCUGUCUGAAUAUGGGGGGACCAUCCUCCAAGGCUAAAUACUCCUGACUGACCGAUAGUGAACCAGUACCGUGAGGGAAAGGCGAAAAGAACCCCGGCGAGGGGAGUGAAAAAGAACCUGAAACCGUGUACGUACAAGCAGUGGGAGCACCUUCGGGUGUGACUGCGUACCUUUUGUAUAAUGGGUCAGCGACUUAUAUUCUGUAGCAAGGUUAACCGUAUAGGGGAGCCGCAGGGAAACCGAGUCUUAACUGGGCGUUAAGUUGCAGGGUAUAGACCCGAAACCCGGUGAUCUAGCCAUGGGCAGGUUGAAGGUUGGGUAACACUAACUGGAGGACCGAACCGACUAAUGUUGAAAAAUUAGCGGAUGACUUGUGGCUGGGGGUGAAAGGCCAAUCAAACCGGGAGAUAGCUGGUUCUCCCCGAAAGCU